rnacentral:rRNA from 5 species
AGAGUUUGAUCAUGGCUCAGAUUGAACGCUGGCGGCAGGCCUAACACAUGCAAGUCGAACGGUAACAGGAAGCAGCUUGCUGCUUUGCUGACGAGUGGCGGACGGGUGAGUAAUGUCUGGGAAACUGCCUGAUGGAGGGGGAUAACUACUGGAAACGGUGGCUAAUACCGCAUAACGUCGCAAGACCAAAGAGGGGGACCUUCGGGCCUCUUGCCAUCAGAUGUGCCCAGAUGGGAUUAGCUUGUUGGUGAGGUAACGGCUCACCAAGGCGACGAUCCCUAGCUGGUCUGAGAGGAUGACCAGCCACACUGGAACUGAGACACGGUCCAGACUCCUACGGGAGGCAGCAGUGGGGAAUAUUGCACAAUGGGCGCAAGCCUGAUGCAGCCAUGCCGCGUGUAUGAAGAAGGCCUUCGGGUUGUAAAGUACUUUCAGCGGGGAGGAAGGUGUUGUGGUUAAUAACCACAGCAAUUGACGUUACCCGCAGAAGAAGCACCGGCUAACUCCGUGCCAGCAGCCGCGGUAAUACGGAGGGUGCAAGCGUUAAUCGGAAUUACUGGGCGUAAAGCGCACGCAGGCGGUCUGUCAAGUCGGAUGUGAAAUCCCCGGGCUCAACCUGGGAACUGCAUUCGAAACUGGCAGGCUUGAGUCUUGUAGAGGGGGGUAGAAUUCCAGGUGUAGCGGUGAAAUGCGUAGAGAUCUGGAGGAAUACCGGUGGCGAAGGCGGCCCCCUGGACAAAGACUGACGCUCAGGUGCGAAAGCGUGGGGAGCAAACAGGAUUAGAUACCCUGGUAGUCCACGCCGUAAACGAUGUCUACUUGGAGGUUGUGCCCUUGAGGCGUGGCUUCCGGAGCUAACGCGUUAAGUAGACCGCCUGGGGAGUACGGCCGCAAGGUUAAAACUCAAAUGAAUUGACGGGGGCCCGCACAAGCGGUGGAGCAUGUGGUUUAAUUCGAUGCAACGCGAAGAACCUUACCUGGUCUUGACAUCCACGGAAGUUUUCAGAGAUGAGAAUGUGCCUUCGGGAACCGUGAGACAGGUGCUGCAUGGCUGUCGUCAGCUCGUGUUGUGAAAUGUUGGGUUAAGUCCCGCAACGAGCGCAACCCUUAUCCUUUGUUGCCAGCGAUUAGGUCGGGAACUCAAAGGAGACUGCCAGUGAUAAACUGGAGGAAGGUGGGGAUGACGUCAAGUCAUCAUGGCCCUUACGACCAGGGCUACACACGUGCUACAAUGGCGCAUACAAAGAGAAGCGACCUCGCGAGAGCAAGCGGACCUCAUAAAGUGCGUCGUAGUCCGGAUUGGAGUCUGCAACUCGACUCCAUGAAGUCGGAAUCGCUAGUAAUCGUGGAUCAGAAUGCCACGGUGAAUACGUUCCCGGGCCUUGUACACACCGCCCGUCACACCAUGGGAGUGGGUUGCAAAAGAAGUAGGUAGCUUAACCUUCGGGAGGGCGCUUACCACUUUGUGAUUCAUGACUGGGGUGAAGUCGUAACAAGGUAACCGUAGGGGAACCUGCGGUUG